UAUCUCAUGCAGGAGACAGUGGAUUUGA
rnacentral:piRNA from 1 species